UACGUAGGUGGCAAGCGUUGUCCGGAAUUACUGGGUGUAAAGGGAGUGUAGGCGGGUGCUUAAGUCGAUUGUAAAAGUGCACGGCUCAACUGUGUGAUGCGAUCGAAACUGAGUAUCUUGAGUGAAGGAGAGGCAGUUGGAAUUCCUAGUGUAGCGGUGGAAUGCGUAGAUAUUAGGAGGAACACCAGUGGCGAAGGCGGACUGCUGGACUUUAACUGACGCUGAGGCUCGAAAGCAUGGGUAGCAAACA
rnacentral:rRNA from 1 species